CAGAAACCGGCGCACGGGUGCGUAACGCGUAUGCAACCUACCUUUUACAGGGGGAUAGCCCGAAGAAAUUUGGAUUAAUACCCCAUAAUAUUAUUGUACGACAUCGUUUGAUAAUUAAAGCUGAGGCGGUAGAAGAUGGGCAUGCGUCCUAUUAGCUAGUUGGAGUGGUAACGGCACCCCAAGGCUACGAUAGGUAGGGGUCCUGAGAGGGAGAUCCCCCACACUGGUACUGAGACAGGGACCAGACUCCUACGGGAGGCAGCAGUGAGGAAUAUUGGUCAAUGGUCGGAAGACUGAACCAGCCAUGCCGCGUGCAGGAAGAAUGCCUUAUGGGUUGUAAACUGCUUUUAUAUAGGGAGAAUAAGGAGUACGUGUACUCUGAUGACGGUACUAUAUGAAUAAGCAUCGGCUAACUCCGUGCCAGCAGCCGCGGUAAUACGGAGGAUGCGAGCGUUAUUCGGAAUCAUUGGGUUUAAAGGGUCUGUGGGCGGGCUAUUAAGUCAGGGGUGAAAUCUUACAGCUUAACUGUGAAAUUGCCUUUGAUACUGGUAGUCUUGAAUAUUUGUGAAGUUUUUGGAAUGUGUAGUGUAGCGGUGAAAUGCUUAGAUAUUACACAGAACACCGAUUGCGAAGGCAGGAGACUAACAAAUGAUUGACGCUGAGAGACGAGAGCGUGGGGAGCGAACAGGAUUAGAUACCCUGGUAGUCCACGCUGUAAACGAUGGAUACUAGCUGUUUGGCGUAAGCUGAGUGGCUAAGCGAAAGUGAUAAGUAU
rnacentral:rRNA from 1 species